rnacentral:rRNA from 1 species
GACGUAGGGCGCGAGCGUUGUCCGGAUUUAUUGGGCGUAAAGAGCUCGUAGGCGGCUUGUUGCGUCGACUGUGAAAACCUGCGGCUCAACCGUGUGGUCUGCAGUCGAUACGGGCAGGCUGGAGUUCGGUAGGGGAGACUGGAAUUCCAGGUGUAGCGGUGAAAUGCGUAGAUAUCUGGAGGAACACCGGUGGCGAAGGCGGCGUUCUGGACUGUUUCUGACACUGAAAAACGAAAGCCAGGGGAGCAAACGGG